rnacentral:rRNA from 1 species
AAUGAACGUUGGCGGCAUGGAUUAGGCAUGCAAGUCGAGCGAGAAGAGUUUUGAAGCUUGCUUUAGAACUCGGACAGCGGCGAAAGGGAGAGUAACGCGUAGUUAUGUGCCCUAGGGUCCGGAAUAGCCACGGGAAACUGUGGGUAAUGCCGGAUAAUAUCCCCGGAUCAAAGGUGUGAUUCCGCCCUAGGAGCAGACUGCGUCCUACUAGCUAGUUGGUGGGGUAAUGGCCCACCAAGGCAAUGAUGGGUAGCGGGUGUGAGAGCAUGACCCGUCUCACUGGGACUGAGACACUGCCCAGACACCUACGGGUGGCUGCAGUCGAGAAUCUUCGGCAAUGGGCGAAAGCCUGACCGAGCGAUGCCGCGUGCGGGAUGAAGGCCCUCGGGUUGUAAACCGCUGUCGUAGGGGAGGAAGGUUCCGUGAAGGGCGGGACUUGACCUAUCCUAGGAGGAAGUACGGGCUAAGUUCGUGCCAGCAGCCGCAGUAACAC